rnacentral:rRNA from 1 species
GACGAACCGUGCGAACGUUGUUCGGAAUCACUGGGCUUAAAGGGCGCGUAGGCGGGCAGUCAAGUCAAGGGUGAAAUCCUGCGGCUCAACCGUAGAAGAGCCCCUGAUACUGGCUGUCUCGAGGGAGGUAGGGGCGUGUGGAACUUCCGGUGGAGCGGUGAAAUGCGUAGAUAUCUGGAGGAACACCGGUGGCGAAGGCGGCAUCCUGGACCAAUACUGACGCUGAGGAGCGAAAGCCAGGGGAGCAAACGGG